rnacentral:rRNA from 1 species
CCUACGGGUGGCAGCAGUGGGGAAUAUUGCGCAAUGGGCGAAAGCCUGACGCAGCGACGCCGCGUGAGGGAUGAAGGUCCUCGGAUCGUAAACCUCUGUCAGCAGGGAAGAACAGUCACUGUGCUAAUCAGCAGUGCAUUGACGGUACCUGCAAAGGAAGCACCGGCUAACUCCGGGCCAGCAGCCGCGGUCGUACGGAGGGUGCGAGCGGUGAUCGGAAUUACUGGGCGUAAAGCGCUCGUAGGCGGUAUGUCAAGUCAAGGGUGAAAUCCCCGGGCUCAACGGGGGAACUGCCUUUGAAACUGGCAAACUGGAGUGUGUGAGAGGAUAGUGGAAUUCCAGGUGUAGCAGUGAAAUCCGUAGAUAUCUGGAGGAACAUCAGUGGCGAAGGCGACUAUCUGGCAUAUAACUGACGCUGAGGAGCGAAAGCGUGGGUAGCAAACAGGAUUAGAUACCCUGGUAGUC